rnacentral:lncRNA from 1 species
UUUUUUCCAGUAGUAUGUACGAUGCUAGAUUGAUUCCUUGCUUUCUAACAUCACUGAUUUCACAAGCAGGUCAAUUUCUUGCUGUUAAGUACUCUCUUCCAAGGUAAAGUACCAAGGUCUGAAGAAGUGUAGUGUGACCGCCAGGACAUGGCUGAAUGCUUGUAACUAUCCCAGGAUGUGCAAGUCACUGAAAUCUCUUAAACAGAACAGAAUGACAAGUUUUCAUCUAUGCUGCAAAAUGGACUCUGAACUAUUAAUUUAACAGCAGUCUUUUUAUUCAGAAAAGGGUAACUGCAGUAGCUGGCGAUCUGAAAAGAUAUCAGGAAAUUGCAUGAAAUUGAUGAUUUUUCAAGCAAGCAAAUUCUCAAGUAUCACCCAUAUGAUUUUAAAGUUUUUACUAGCUAAUGAGCUACAAAGGAUAUUCUUUAAAGCACAGUCACCAUAUGCUUAUGUGUUCAUUGAUGCAUAGGAUAUGGAAGUUUGAUGAGAUGAACAGCAAUUAGAUAUCAUAAACAUUAAAAGAAACCUUUAUACCUCAUUCAUGCACUUGAAUUUGCCUGACUGUUAUCUACCAAAAUUUAUUAUAAGGUGGCAGAUGAGUCCUAGCUCUAGGUCACUAUUGAAGGCCUUUUUGUUUGGAUAGUUCGGUCAGAAAACUAUAACUCUGAUAAACUAUGAUAUACUUUUGAAUGUUCCAAACAGAAGAUAAAAUACCAAUAAUACCAUACUAUACUAGACAAUGACUGCAGAACUGCAACAAGAACCUAGAAUCUCUUUCUGGGCUCAACUCCGCUGAAGUUACUGAAAAAAUAAGCUGUACUGCAGAUGAACAUCAUAAUGUUUAGAUUCGCUGAAGCGGUGUUAUUUUUUCACAUACACUUUUGUAGGAUAGAUCCAGGAUAGUUACCAGAGUUACUGUCCUCCCUUCUCCGGAAGCACACUAUCAUGCAAUUAUUUCAUUAAUUCCAAAGCCUAAAUUCUCUAAUAAGAGCAAUUUUAGAUUUUCUACUCUUCCCACACAUUGAAUUUCAUCUUGAGAUCAUUGCUUUUCCAUAAGCAAUGGGAGGUAGUUUAUCAUUGCUUACAAAGUAAUUCUGAUCAGAUCAUCGAAUUUAUGGAGUCUUCCAAUUUCAAGCACCAUCUUCUUUUACUGUUAAGAAUGACUUUUACUGGAUACUUUAGUUCGGCAUCCAUGUAGAUCUAAAGCCCUGGCAUCCCCAUUCAAAGCUAGUGAAGAAGAAAAGAUAUUUCAAUCUUUCAGGAAGAGGAUCAAGUGUCAUCUCCUCUGGAAGCUGAUAGGAUUCCCACUGAAUUUACUCUUACGCUACCUAAGUUUAUUUUUACCAUAAAAGUAUCAGUAUUUAUCUAGAAUUUUUCAGAUUCAUGUGCUGAAGCAUAUUCUGUUUUCUAAGUGCUUCUUAACCCCUGNNNNNNNNNNNNNNNNNNNNNNNNNNNNNNNNNNNNNNNNNNNNNNNNNNNNNNNNNNAAGCCAUCUCCUGAUAAGAUUUCUUAGGAAGGAGAUAACUUAAAUAUGCAACAGUAGGAGGCUCUGCUAUCCAAAUAGCUGAUUUCCUACCAAAGAUCAAUUAUAAGCAAACUCUUCUCGUACCUCAAAUUUUAGUAUGUGAAAGGUUUUUGCAGAUGUUUCAUUUAAAAAUUGAUAUAUAGAGAACUUGAAAUCUUAGCAAAUCAGGCAUCGCUCCCUUCAUCUACAUUUGUUCCCUUUUUUUUGGGCUGCACAUGUUUCUCCUCUUUAAGAGGCAUUUGAAAUAAUUACUUUAGAGCUUGAUGACAGUCAAGAAGGAACUUAUUAAGUUCAGAAACUUGCUUAUGAAACAGUUGCUCUUCCUAUGACGCAGAUAAUUGAAUUGUUGUAAGCAUAUGAUAAACUACCUCCCAUUGUUGCAGCUGAAAACCUCUUAUCAGAAUUACUUUGAUGGUUAAAAAUAAUCUUAUGGAAAACUACCUUGAGAUCAUUGAAUUUCAUCUUGAGAUCAUUGCUUUUCCAUAAUCUUGUCAGGUAGUUACUAAUUCAGUUAGGAUGUUUCAGAAUCCAAAUUAUUUUCAACAUACUUAUCAGCGAACAAGAAAUAGCAACAAAAUAAUAAAAAAUAAUAAUUGUUCAAUGUGCAUCAACGAUCAUACUUAUCAGGGUUGCCGAGUCGAUCGAGGUUUGAGGGCUGCUCGGACGGCGCCGGAGAGGAGGGAGGAGGAGGAGAUCCUCGGGCGGAGGCAAAGCUAGAGAAUCUGUAAAAAAAGAAAAAAACACCCACGAACACACGAACAAGAAGAGGCGGAGAAGGAGGAGAACAAGCGAGAAGGAGGGAGAAGAGGGAGGAGGAGAAAAAUACCUCAGGUGGAAGAGAUCGGGGUUGGUCGGUCGGCGCCGGAGAGAAGGGAGGAGGAGAGGAGGUUGGAAUCCGACGGUCGGCACCGGAGAGGAGGAAGACGGUUGACUAGGGCAGUGCCGGAGAGGAGGAAGACGGAAGCCGGAGAGGAGAAAUAGGGGAAGUAGCCAGCGCAGAAUGAGGGUUCGAUCGGGGUCGGGCGCUGAGUUUUGAGGGAUUCUAN